ensembl:lncRNA LINC01448 long intergenic non-protein coding RNA 1448
GACGGGGUUUCACCUUGUUAGCCAGGAUGGUCUCGAUCUCCUGACCUCGUGAUCCACCCGCCUCGGCCUCCCAAAGUGCUGGGAUUACAGGCGUGAGCCACCGCGCCCAGCCUGUAAGCCUAAAUUUUUGUGGCUGUGGGAUGGACAAGGACCCAGUCUUUAGCUGAACUAAGGAAAAGUCCUGCAACAAUAAAUUUCAGAAGUUUGAUCUUAACAGAUGAGGAGACUGAAGCCCACAGAGAUCUGAUAGAAAACAGCUGGAUGUGCUAACAGAGCAUCAGACUUGGAAUCAGGUGGAUCCUAGAUUGGCUACUUCCUAACCUCAGAAAAGUGACAUAAUGUCUAUGGUGAAGUCAUCCAUCUGAAACACAAUGCAGUGAAAUCCACUUUAAAUUUUGAUUGUGAAAGCUUUACUGAGGUUUAUUUGAUACACAAUGAUCGUAUCAUUAUGGCUACAAGAAAAGUAAUCAACAAAGUAUACACUUGGAUAAAUGUUGACAUAAGUAUAUACCUGUAAAACUAUCACUACAAUCAAGAUAAUGAACAUGUCCACGUGCUCCCAAAGUUUCUGCACAAUCCUUCCCAUCCUUCCUUGUUCUUGGAACUGCUAAUCAACUAUAGGUUAGUUUGCAUUUUCUGGAAUUUUAUAUUAAUAGAAUCAUAUAGUGUGGACUCUCUUUGGAGUUUAGUUUCCUUCACUUGGCAUAAUUAUUUUGAGAUUCACCCUUGUUGUGGCAUGUAUCAAUAGUUUAUUCUUAUUUAUUGCUGACUAGUAUUUCAUUGUAUGGGCAUACCACAGUAUGUUUAUUCCUUCAGCUCGUGGUGGAUAUUUAUAUUGUUUCCAGCUUUUUGCCUAUUGUUUUUAAAAGCUGCUAUAAAAAUUGUAUUCAUGUCUUUGCAUGAACAUAUGCUUUUAUUUAUCUUGAGUAAAUGCCUAGGAGUAGAGUGGCUGUAUCAUAAGGUAGAUGUAUAUUUAACUGUUUACGAAACUUGCUGACCAUUUUCCAAUGUGGUUGUAUACUUUACAUUCCCACCAGCAAUGUAUGGGAGUCUAUUCCUCCACAUUCACACCAAUGCUCGAUAUGGUCAGUCUUUAAUUUUAGCCAUUCUAAAAUGUUUGUAGAGUAUCUCAUUGUGUUUUUAAUUUUAAUUAAAUUUCUGAAAUAACAAAUUAUAUUGAG